rnacentral:rRNA from 1 species
UCUUUGGAGAGUUUGAUCCUGGCUCAGAACGAACGCUGGCGGCGUGCCUAACACAUGCAAGUCGAGCGCGAAAGGAGCAAUCCGAGUAGAGCGGCGCACGGGUGCGUAACACGUGGAUAAUCU